CGAGCGAAUCGUUACGGGAGGGUGUACCGUGGGAACGUGCCCUUCUCUCGGAAUACCGGGAAACUGGGAUAAUACGUAUACGCCCUUUGGGGGAAGAUUUAUCGGAAAGGAUCGCCCGCGUGGAUAGUAUUGGUGAGGUACGGUCACCAAGCCGACGAUCCAUACUGGUUUGAGAGGAUGAUCAGCCACACUGGGACUGAGACACGGCCCAGACUCCUACGGGAGGCAGCAGUGGGGAAUCUUAGACAAUGGGGGCAACUCUGAUCUAGCCAUGCCGCGUGAGUGAUGAAGCUUAGGGUUGUAAAGCUCUUUCAGCUGGGAAGAUAAUGACG
rnacentral:rRNA from 1 species